GAUGAAGAACGUAGCGAAAUGCGAUAAGUAAUGUGAAUUGCAGAAUUCAGUGAAUCAUCGAAUCUUUGAACGCACAUUGCGCCCGCCAGUAUUCUGGCGGGCAUGCCUGUUCGAGCGUCAUUUCAACCAUCAAGCCCCCGGCUUGUGUUGGGGACCUGCGGCUGCCGCAGGCCCUGAAAACCAGUGGCGGGCUCGCUAGUCACUCCGAGCGUAGUAAUACAUCUCGCUCAGGGCGUGCUGCGGGUUCCGGCCGUUAAAAAGCCUUAUUUACCCAAGGUUGACCUCGGAUCAGGUAGGAAGACCCGCUGAAUUUAAGCAUAUCAAUAAGCGGAGGA
rnacentral:misc_RNA from 1 species